UGAAAUCUCACCAGGCCCGGACACUGGAAGGAUUGACAGAUUUAUAGCUCUUUCUUGAUUCGGUGCGUGAUGGUGCAUGGCCGUUCUUAGUUGGUUGAGUGAUUUGUCUGGUUAAUUCCGUUAACGAACGAGACCUUAACCUGCUAAAUAGUGACGCGGUUCAUCGAACCGUGGGCCACUUCUUAGAGGGACUAUCGGAUUCAAACCGAUGGAAGUGUGAGGCAAUAA
rnacentral:rRNA from 1 species